rnacentral:rRNA from 1 species
CACUCCUACGGGAGGCAGCAGUGGGGAAUAUUGCACGAUGGGCGCAAGCCUGAUGCAGCCAUGCCGCGUGUAUGAAGAAGGCCUUCGGGUUGUAAAGUACUUUCAGCGGGGAGGAAGGCGAUAAGGUUAAUAACCUUGUUGAUUGCCGUUACCCGCAGAAGAAGCACCGGCUAACUCCGUGCCAGCAGCCGCGGUAAUACGGAGGGUGCAAGCGUUAAUCGGAAUUACUGGGCGUAAAGCGCACGCAGGCGGUCUGUCAAGUCGGAUGUGAAAUCCCCGGGCUCAACCUGGGAACUGCAUUCGAAACUGGCAGGCUAGAGUCUUGUAGAGGGGGGUAGAAUUCCAGGUGUAGCGGUGAAAUGCGUAGAGAUCUGGAGGAAUACCGGUGGCGAAGGCGGCCCCCUGGACAAAGACUGACGCUCAGGUGCGAAAGCGUGGGGAGCAAACAGGAUUAGAAACCCCAGUAGUCCCAUGA